rnacentral:rRNA from 1 species
AUACGGAGGUUGCAAGCGUUGUUCGGAAUAACUGGGCGUAAAGGGAGCGCAGGCGGCAAGGUCAGUCUAAAGUGAAAGCCCGGGGCUUAACCUCGGAAGUGCUUUAGAUACUGCCUUGCUCGAGUUCGUGAGAGGAAAGCGGAAUUCCAGGUGUAGCGGUGAAAUGCGUAGAUAUCUGGAGGAACACCGGUGGCGAAAGCGGCUUUCUGGCGCGAUACUGACGCUGAGGCUCGAAAGCAUGGGGAGC